AAAAAAAAAAAAAAAAAAAUUGAUUCAAGUUUAUUUCAGUGUUUUUACUUUUUUUGUUAGUUGUAAAUAGCUUCUGUAAUAGUUCAGUGUUUUUAAGGUAUUAAAGACCUCUGAGAAGAAACAACAUACGAACUCAUAUCACCCAUGAAAUCGUAACAUGCCGGGGCCCUGGGGCUGGUCUGUGCAGACCUCAGAAGGAAGGCUCUCUCACAGCUGCUCAAGUCAAUCUGCUCCUCCAGGCCUCUAAUCUGAAUUCCCAGCAAGCUGCUAAAGACGACUGCCAUUUGCAAACACUUUUCUGCAUGAAUCAGGAUACUUUUCCAGACUGUGCCACCAAAGCAAACGGCCAAAAUGAAUGAAAGCUGGGGCCAACUGUGCUCCGAAAAAGCUGCCUGCAGCGCCCCCUUCAGACUCUGCUCAUCGCAACAGCCCUGUUGGUCCCAUGUUAUGCAUCUGGAUGAAUGGAUGUGAAUGUGGUUUUGCAUCACGGGCUGGAGCUUUUGUCUGUGUUAUGGAUCAAGGGUGGUGGGCCAUCUUCACUUGAAAAAAGGGGUCUGCUACAAAAACCAAGAUCGAAACUCUCUGGCACAGAAGACAACAGGGAAGACUGAGGCACAAAGUCACAGAGGACUUGGCUGGAAAGGCAUCAGUCUGGUGGGUCACUCAUUAGUACCCACGAUUUCUCGAGACUGGUGUGUCAGAAGCUAGCCCAAGAGGGUGGCCCAAAGUCGUCCUGCUUUGGUUCCACCGCAUCUGCAGUGACUUCUCCACUGAAGUCCUGAAGCCCUCAAAGUCAUCCAUGAAGGCUGGAAUCAACUUCUUCCAAAUGCUUGGAUAUUUUGACCUCCUCCCACAAAUCACAAAUGUUCCUUAAAUGCUCUCUGGAGGUUUUCAAUGUAUUUUGCCCGGAUCCAUCAGAGGAAUCACUGUCUAUGGCAGCUAAAGCCUUACAAAAUUGAUUUCUUCAAUAAUAAGACUGGAAACUUGAAAUUACUCCUUGAUCCUUGGCUCUAGAAUAAAUGUUGUGCUAGCAGGCAUGAAAAUACACAGCUCCCGGUACAUUUUCAUCAGCCCUGUUGGGUGACCGGUUGCCUUGUCAAUGAGCAGUCAUAUUUUGAAAGGAAUGUUUAUUCUGAGCAGUAGGUCUCAACAGUUGGCUUAAAAUACUCAGUAAACCACGUUAUAAGCAGAUGUGCUGUCAUCCAGGCUUUGUUAUUUCAUUUGUAGAACAGAGUGAGUACAUAAUUCUUCAAGGUUCUAGGUUUUUUUGGAAUGAUAACUGAGCAUUGGCUUCAACUUAAAGCCACCAGCUGCAUUAGCCCUAACAAGUCAGCCUGUCUUUUGAAGCCAUGCAUUGACUUCUUAGCUAUGAAAGUCCUAGAUGACAUCUUUUUCUGAUACAAAACUGUUUCAUCUACAUGGAAAAUCUGUGGUAGUGUGGCCACCUUCAUCAAUGAUCUUAGCUGGAUCUUCUGGAUAAAUUGCGGCAGCUUCUACACCAGCCCUGGUUGAUUCACCUUGCAUUUUUAUGUGAUGGAGAUGGCAUCUCCUUAAACCUCAUGAAGCAACCUCUGCUAGCUUCCAACUUUUCUUCUGCAGCUUCCUCACCUCUCUCAGCCUUCACAGAAUUGGAGAUUCAGAACCUUGGUCUGGAUUAGGCUUUGGCUUAAGGGAGUGUUAUGGCUUGUCGGAUCUUCUAUACCGACCUCUCAAACUUUCUCCAUUAUCAACAAUAAGGCUUUUUCACUUUCUUACCAUGUGUGUUCACUGGAAUAGUACUUCUGAUUUCCUUCAAUAGCUUUUCCUUGGCAUUCACAACUUGGCAAACCAGUGCAAGAGGCCUAGCUUUCAGCCUGGCUGGGCUUUCAACCUGCCCUCCUCACUAAGCUUAAUUAUUUCUAGUUUUUCAUUUAAAGAUAAAGACCUGUAACUCUUCCUUUCACUUGAACACUUACAGACCACUGUAGGAUUAAUUGGCCCACUUUCAAUAUUGUGUGCCUUAGGCAACAGGGAGACCACAGAAGAGAAAGAGAGGAAGAGAGAUGGGGAAUGCUGGUUGAUGGAGCAGGUGGAGGACGAGCACACCCAACAUUUAUCGAUUUAGUUCACUGUCUUUGUGGGUGGGGUUCAUGGUACCCCAAAACAAUGACAAUAGUAACAUCAAAGAUCACUGAUCACAGAUCACUGUAACAGAUACAAUAAUGAAAAAGUUUGAAGUGUUGUAAGAAUCACCAAACUGUGACACCGAGACACAAAGUGAGCGCAUGCUGUUAAAAAUGGCAUCGAUAGACUUGCCGAUGCCAGGUUGCCACAAACCUUCAAUGAGUAAAAGAUGCAGUAUCUGUGAAGUACAAUAAAGCAAAGCAUGAUAGAGCAAGGUGUGCCUGCACAUUCUCUCCCUCAGUCCUGCAGGAAUUCCAUUUGAAAGAGGGAAAUCUGAAGCCAGAAUGGUUAUGGGUAAGUCAAUUGACUCCCUGGCGGACCAGGAUUCAAAUCAAGGUCUGAUUCUGGUCCAGUGGCUGCUGUGGUUACCAACAUUUGCAAAGCCUUCAUGAAGAGUCCAAGUAAGCCUGGAGAGAAACCAAUCCUAAGGCUUGUCAAAGAGAAAGAGAUCAGGGCCACCCUCUUGGGCUAGCUUCUGACACACCAGUCUCCAGAAAUCCUGAGUACUAACAAGUGACCCACCAGACUGAUGCCUUUCCAACCAAGUCCUCUGUGACUCUGUGCUUCAGUCUUCCCUGCUGUGAAACGGGAGAGGAAGAUCCUUGAGUUCUU